rnacentral:rRNA from 1 species
GAAUGCUGACAUAAGUAACGAUAAAGCGGGUGAAAAGCCCGCUCGCCGGAAGACCAAGGGUUCCUGUCCAACGUUAAUCGGGGCAGGGUGAGUCGACCCCUAAGGCGAGGCCGAAAGGCGUAGUCGAUGGGAAACAGGUUAAUAUUCCUGUACUUGGUGUUACUGCGAAGGGGGGACGGAGAAGGCUAUGUUGGCCGGGCGACGGUUGUCCCGGUUUAAGCGUGUAGGCUGGUUUUCCAGGCAAAUCCGGAAAACCAAGGCUGAGGCGUGAUGACGAGGCACUACGGUGCUGAAGCGACAAAUGCCCUGCUUCCAGGAAAAGCCUCUAAGCAUCAGGUAACAUCAAAUCGUACCCCAAACCGACACAGGUGGUCAGGUAGAGAAUACCAAGGCGCUUGAGAGAACUCGGGUGAAGGAACUAGGCAAAAUGGUGCCGUAACUUCGGGAGAAGGCACGCUGAUAUGUAGGUGAAGCGACUUGCUCGUGGAGCUGAAAUCAGUCGAAGAUACCAGCUGGCUGCAACUGUUUAUUAAAAACACAGCACUGUGCAAACACGAAAGUGGACGUAUACGGUGUGACGCCUGCCCGGUGCCGGAAGGUUAAUUGAUGGGGUUAGCGGUAACGCGAAGCUCUUGAUCGAAGCCCCGGUAAACGGCGGCCGUAACUAUAACGGUCCUAAGGUAGCGAAAUUCCUUGUCGGGUAAGUUCCGACCUGCACGAAUGGCGUAAUGAUGGCCAGGCUGUCUCCACCCGAGACUCAGUGAAAUUGAACUCGCUGUGAAGAUGCAGUGUACCCGCGGCAAGACGGAAAGACCCCGUGAACCUUUACUAUAGCUUGACACUGAACAUUGAGCCUUGAUGUGUAGGAUAGGUGGGAGGCUUUGAAGUGUGGACGCCAGUCUGCAUGGAGCCGACCUUGAAAUACCACCCUUUAAUGUUUGAUGUUCUAACGUUGGCCCGUAAUCCGGGUUGCGGACAGUGUCUGGUGGGUAGUUUGACUGGGGCGGUCUCCUCCUAAAGAGUAACGGAGGAGCACGAAGGUUGGCUAAUCCUGGUCGGACAUCAGGAGGUUAGUGCAAUGGCAUAAGCCAGCUUGACUGCGAGCGUGACGGCGCGAGCAGGUGCGAAAGCAGGUCAUAGUGAUCCGGUGGUUCUGAAUGGAAGGGCCAUCGCUCAACGGAUAAAAGGUACUCCGGGGAUAACAGGCUGAUACCGCCCAAGAGUUCAUAUCGACGGCGGUGUUUGGCACCUCGAUGUCGGCUCAUCACAUCCUGGGGCUGAAGUAGGUCCCAAGGGUAUGGCUGUUCGCCAUUUAAAGUGGUACGCGAGCUGGGUUUAGAACGUCGUGAGACAGUUCGGUCCCUAUCUGCCGUGGGCGCUGGAGAACUGAGGGGGGCUGCUCCUAGUACGAGAGGACCGGAGUGGACGCAUCACUGGUGUUCGGGUUGUCAUGCCAAUGGCACUGCCCGGUAGCUAAAUGCGGAAGAGAUAAGUGCUGAAAGCAUCUAAGCACGAAACUUGCCCCGAGAUGAGUUCUCCCUGAGACUUAGAGUCUCCUGAAGGAACGUUGAAGACGACGACGUUGAUAGGCCGGGUGUGUAAGCGCAGCGAUGCGUUGAGCUAACCGGUACUAAUGAACCGUGAGGCUUAACCUU